GCCUGGUCAGCUCAGUUGGUAGAACGCUCCACUGGGAAUGGAGAGAGGUCCCGGGUUCGAUACCCGUACCAGGCA